GCGGACGGGUGAGUAACGCGUGGGAAUCUGCCCUCAGGAGGGGGAUAACGGCUGGAAACGGCCGCUAAUACCCCAUAUGCCGAGAGGUGAAAUGAAUUUCGCCUGAGGAUGAGCCCGCGUCUGAUUAGCUAGUUGGUGAGGUAAGAGCUCACCAAGGCAUCGAUCAGUAGCUGGUCUGAGAGGAUGAUCAGCCACACUGGGACUGAGACACGGCCCAGACUCCUACGGGAGGCAGCAGUGGGGAAUUUUCCGCAAUGGGCGAAAGCCUGACGGAGCAACGCCGCGUGAGGGAUGAAGGCCUCUGGGCUGUAAACCUCUUUUCUCAAGGAAGAAGAUCUGACGGUACUGAGGAAUAAGCCACGGCUAAUUCCGUGC
rnacentral:rRNA from 1 species